rnacentral:rRNA from 1 species
GAUGAACGCUGGCGGCGUGCCUAAUACAUGCAAGUCGAGCGAACAGAUGAGGAGCUUGCUCCUCUGACGUUAGCGGCGGACGGGUGAGUAACACGUGGAUAACCUACCUAUAAGACUGGGAUAACUUCGGGAAACCGGAGCUAAUACCGGAUAAUAUAUUGAACCGCAUGGUUCAAUAGUGAAAGACGGUUUUGCUGUCACUUAUAGAUGGAUACGCGCCGCAUUAGCUAGUUGGUAAGGUAACGGCUUACCAAGGCAACGAUGCGUAGCCGACCUGAGAGGGUGAUCGGCCACACUGGAGCUGAGACGCGGUCCAGGCUCCUAGGGGAGGCAGCAGUAGCGAAUCGACCGCAAAGGGCGAAAGCUUGAAGGAGCAGCGCAGCGUGAGUGAUGAAGGUCUUCGGAUCGUAAAACUCUGUUAUUGGGGAAGAACAAAUGUGUAAGUAACUAUGCGCGUCUUGACGGAACCGAAUCAGAAGGCCACGGCUAACUACGU